GGUUAAGCGACUAAGCGUACACGGUGGAUGCCCUGGCAGUCAGAGGCGAUGAAGGACGUGCUAAUCUGCGAUAAGCGUCGGUAAGGUGAUAUGAACCGUUAUAACCGGCGAUUUCCGAAUGGGGAAACCCAGUGUGUUUCGACACACUAUCAUUAACUGAAUCCAUAGGUUAAUGAGGCGAACCGGGGGAACUGAAACAUCUAAGUACCCCGAGGAAAAGAAAUCAACCGAGAUUCCCCCAGUAGCGGCGAGCGAACGGGGAGGAGCCCAGAGCCUGAAUCAGUGUGUGUGUUAGUGGAAGCGUCUGGAAAGGCGCGCGAUACAGGGUGACAGCCCCGUACACAAAAAUGCACAUGCUGUGAGCUCGAUGAGUAGGGCGGGACACGUGGUAUCCUGUCUGAAUAUGGGGGGACCAUCCUCCAAGGCUAAAUACUCCUGACUGACCGAUAGUGAACCAGUACCGUGAGGGAAAGGCGAAAAGAACCCCGGCGAGGGGAGUGAAAAAGAACCUGAAACCGUGUACGUACAAGCAGUGGGAGC
rnacentral:rRNA from 1 species